CCUACGUGUGGCAGCAGUGAGGAAUAUUGGUCAAUGGGCGAAAGCCUGAACCAGCCAAGUAGCGUGCAGGAUGACGGCCCUACGGGUUGUAAACUGCUUUUAUACGGGAAUAACGCGCCUCACUUGUAGCUCUUUGCAUGUACCGUAUGAAAAAGGACCGGCUAACUCCGUGCCAGCAGCCGCGGUAAUACGGAAGGUCCGAGCGUUAUCCGUAUUUAUUGGGUUUAAAGGGAGCGUAGGCCGCAUGUCAAGCGUGCUGUGAAAUGUCCGGGCUCAACCCGGGCCUUGCAGCGCGAACUGGCGUGCUUGAGUCCGCGGAAAGCAGGCGGAAUUCGUCGUGUAGCGGUGAAAUGCUUAGAUAUGACGAAGAACCCCGAUUGCGAAGGCAGCUUGCUGCAGCGGAACUGACGCUGAUGCUCGAAAGCGCGGGUAUCGAACAGGAUUAGAUACCCGGGUAGUC
rnacentral:rRNA from 1 species